UAGGUGAAGAGAGGAAAUUGUUUUUCAUCAUCUCCAAUGGAGGAAGAGAAGAUGUCUCUUUUCAUCAUCUUCAACGGAUUUAUUGAGAACCAUUCCCCAAUUUUUGGGGUUUUUCCUAGGAGAGCAGAAAGGGACCCCAUUAUUUGGUAAGAUGGUGUUUGAGCUAUUGGUCCUACCUGUUUGAUUCCAGGUAGAAAUGAAGUUAAAUUUACCAUCAAUGGGAGAUCCAUUUGGUGCAAAAAGUGUCAAACCAAGGAAGAGUAAGCAUGAAGAUGAGGAUAAAUGGUGCAGUCUUGAUUGUUGUUGUAUAUGAGUGGUGUGAACUUAUUGUGUGAUAGAUAUCAAAUUAAGAGUGUUUGGUAGUGAUCCUAGAAAACGCUUUUAAUAUUUUUAGUACUUAAAAUUUUUUAUCAUUCAAGUGUUAAAAAUGUUAUAAACAUUUUCUAGAAUUACUCCUAAACACACUCUAAGUAAGUUGUAUAUUUCAUAAUGAGAUCAUAAACUUCGGUUGUGUGAGAUAAUAAUAAUUUGAAUUCAUAUC